UCGAGGGGCAUCGGGGCGAGGAGCAAUCCUUGCCGCCGGCGACCGGCGCACGGGUGAGUAACGCGUAUGCGACCUGCCCGUUGCAGGGGGAUAAUCGGGAGAAAUCCCGUCUAAUACCGCGUAACGCCGCGGGGCUGCAUGGCCCUGCGGCCAAAGGGAGCGAUUCCGGCAACGGAUGGGCAUGCGUGACAUUAGCUAGUUGGCGGGGCAACGGCCCACCAAGGCGACGAUGUCUAGGGGUUCUGAGAGGAAGGUCCCCCACACUGGUACUGAGACACGGACCAGACUCCUACGGGAGGCAGCAGUGAGGAAUAUUGGUCAAUGGGCGCGAGCCUGAACCAGCCAAGUCGCGUGAGGGAUGACGGCCCUACGGGUUGUAAACCUCUUUUGUCGGGGAGCAAAUUCCGUUACGUGUAACGGAGUCGAGAGUACCCGAAGAAAAAGCAUCGGCUAACUCCGUGCCAGCAGCCGCGGUAAUACGGAGGAUGCGAGCGUUAUCCGGAUUUAUUGGGUUUAAAGGGUGCGUAGGCGGACUGUCAAGUCAGCGGUAAAAUACGGGGGCUCAACCUCCGCCCGCCGUUGAAACUGACGGUCUUGAGUGGGCGAGAAGUAUGCGGAAUGCGUGGUGUAGCGGUGAAAUGCAUAGAUAUCACGCAGAACUCCGAUUGCGAAGGCAGCAUACCGGCGCCCAACUGACGCUGAAGCACGAAAGCGUGGGUAUCGAACAGGAUUAGAUACCCUGGUAGUCCACGCAGUAAACGAUGAAUACUAGCUGUCCGGGGCGAAUGAGCCCUGGGUGGCA
rnacentral:rRNA from 1 species